CUAGAUGUGUUGAAAUAACACCAAGGCUCUGGUUUUAAGGAAGCAACAUUGUGUCCCAGUGAGCUCAGAAUGUUCUGGAACCCAGCACCUCCUAAAUUCAUCUGUGCCCCCUUUGUUAUGAAAGACACACUUUUCCCCAAAUACCAGAUAAAACUGGCACACCUGUGCAAAGAGAAUCUGUUGGAUGAGCUGCACAAUGUGGUGGAGUCAGUUAGCCAUGUGAUGGACACAGAACAGGCUACUUCUGAGGUUUUUUUAUUUAAAGAGAAUGUCUAAAGAGGAAGUUUUGGAAAACAAAUUUGGAAAAGUUGGUUUCUUUAAAACAUGAAAAAAGUUUCUUUUUUAUUUUUGUGUAAUACUUAUUUUUGUGUAAUUGACAAAAUGGCAUAACAAUGAAACUCUUUACAAACAUUAUUCUGAAAAGUGUAUAUGUGUAUGUUUUUGUGUUUUUAUACACUACUGUUCAAAACCUUAUGGUCAGUAUGAUAUUUUUAAUACUUUAUUUAGCACGGAUGCAUUAAAUUGACAAGAUUUAAAUUUCAAAUAAAUUAUGUUCUUUUGAACUUUCUAUUCA
ensembl:lncRNA